AAAACAUUUCCUUUACGAAAAUUCUGAAGGUAGAGCCUGCUCAGUGAUAUAUAAAUAAACAGCCGCGGUAUUUUAACUGCGCGAAGGUAGCAUAAUUAAUUGUCUUUUAAUUGGUGACUUGUUUGAACGGCUUUAUGAGGAUUUAGCUUUUUUUAUCUUCAAAAGAACUUAUUAUCUUGGGUCAAAAAACCUAGAUUUGUUAAAAAGAAGAGAAGACCCUGAUGAGUUUUACAACUUUAUAGUUGUUUAAGUGGGGCUUUACAAUUUUCAGUAUAUUUGUAUCAGAUCCUACCUUGAGGAAAAAGGAAUAAAUUACCACAGGGAUAACAGGACAAAAUUUGCUAAGAGUACGUAUCUAAGCAAGGAACUGUUACCUCGAUGUUGAAUCAAAGUAAACUUUUAGGCGCAGAAGUUUUUGGAGUGGGUCUGUUCGACCUUUAAAACUUUACGUGAUUUGAGUU
rnacentral:rRNA from 1 species